GCCUGCUUAGCUCAGUGGUAGAGCGCUGCACUUGUACAUCGGCGCAAGGCAUGCAGCGGUCAGUCGUUCAAUCCGGAUAGGAGGCA